rnacentral:lncRNA from 1 species
GGUCCAAGUAGGCUAAAUCCAGUCCAGAGUUUGUGGACGUUCUUAGGGAAUAUAAAGCUAAGGGGCAGCAAAAUUAGUAGCACCAAAUCUGUGGAGCCAGAAGAUGUGGAUUCAAACUCCUGCUGCACAUCUUGUAUGCUUUUUGAUUUUGAAAGAGUUUUUUUUUUCCUUUUUGAGCCUUGGCUUCCAUAUAUACAAAAUGAAGUUACUAAUAAUAUCAACCUUAUAGGAGAUGGCCUGGAUUCUGCCAUGUAAAUCAAAGAAGAGAGGGCCUAACUCAGCUGCCUAGCCUGGAUCACCUGGAACCCAUUAGGAUACAGGAUCAUAAACACCUCUAUUUUCCCUUCAGAGAGAGACCAGAACCACUGGAGUUAAGCUACCUGCAUAAGAGUUGAGUGCGAUCAGCUGUACUUAAUCUUUAAAUGUCCAACCCACUGAUAACCUUUGGUUUGCUUUGAUAACUAUGAAAUAAAUUCU